UACAGAGGUCUCAAGCGUUGUUCGGAUUCAUUGGGCGUAAAGGGUGCGUAGGCGGCGCGGUAAGUCGGGUGUGAAAUCUCGGGGCUUAACUCCGAAACUGCAUUCGAUACUGCCGUGCUUGAGGACUGGAGAGGAGACUGGAAUUUACGGUGUAGCGGUGAAAUGCGUAGAUAUCGUAAGGAAGACCGGUAGGCGAAGGCGGGUCUCUGGACAGUUCCUGACGCUGAGGCACGAAGGCCAGGGGAGCAAACGGG
rnacentral:rRNA from 1 species